CGAAUCUUCCGCAAUGCGCGAAAGCGUGACGGAGCAAUGCCGCGUGCAGGAUGAAUCCCUUCGGGGUGUAAACUGCUGUCAGGGUUUAGCAACACAAUGAGCAGACCCAAAGGAAGGGCCGGCUAACUUCGUGCCAGCAGCCGCGGUAAUACGAAGGGCCCAAGCGUUGCGCGGAAUCACUGGGCUUAAAGCGUACGUAGGCGGGCACGCAGGCACCUUGUGAAAUCCCUCGGCUCAACCGAGGAACUGCUUGGUGAACCGCGUGCCUCGAGGCAAGUAGGGGCUGUCGGAACGAUAGGUGGAGCGGUGAAAUGCGUUGAUAUCUAUCGGAACGCCGAAGGUGAAGACAGGCAGCUGGGCUUGUUCUGACGCUGAGGUACGAAAGCGUGGGUAGCGAAC
rnacentral:rRNA from 1 species